UCUGAUGGAGCACGCCGCGUGAGUGAGAAGGGUUUCGGCUCGUAAAACUCUGUUGUUAGAGAAGAACAGCCGUGAGAGCAACUGCUCACGGUAUGACGGUAUCUAACCAGAAAGUCACGGCUAACUACGUGCCAGCAGCCGCGGUAAUACGUAGGUGGCAAACGUUGUCCGGAUUUAUUGGGCGUAAAGGGAGCGCAGGCGGUUUAUUAAGUCUGAUGUGAAAGCCUUCGGCUUAACCGGAGAAGUGCAUCGGAAACUGAUAAACUUGAGUGCAGAAAAGGAUAGUGGAACUUCAUGUGUAGCG
rnacentral:rRNA from 2 species